ACAGUGCUUUGCUUCGAACGGUCCCCUAGCUUGGGACGAACUAUAUCGACCACUUGACCUCAAAUCAGGCGGGACUACCCGCUGAACUUAAGCAUAUCAAUAAGCGGAGGAAAAGAAACUAACAAGGAUUCCCCUAGUAACUGCGAGUGAAGCGGGAAGAGCUCAAAUUUAAAAUCUGGCGGCUUUGCCGUCCGAGUUGUAAUUUAGAGAAGCGUUUUCCGCGCCGGACCGUGUACAAGUCUCCUGGAACGGAGCGUCACAGAGGGUGAGAAUCCCGUCUUUGACACGGACCCCCGGUGCUCUGUGAUACGCUCUCGAAGAGUCGAGUUGUUUGGGAAUGCAGCUCAAAAUGGGUGGUGAACUCCAUCUAAAGCUAAAUAUUGGCGAGAGACCGAUAGCGAACAAGUACCGUGAGGGAAAGAUGAAAAGCACUUUGGAAAGAGAGUGAAACAGUACGUGAAAUUGCUGAAAGGGAAACGCUUGAAGUCAGUCGCGUCCGCCGGAAUUCAGCCCCUGUGGUGUACUUUCCGACGGACGGGCCAGCAUCACUUUCGAUUGCCGGAAAAGGGCAGAGGGAACGUGGCACCUCCGGGUGUGUUAUAGCCCUCUGUCGUAUACGGUGGCUGGGAGUGAGGACCGCCU
rnacentral:rRNA from 1 species